rnacentral:rRNA from 1 species
CAAGUCGAGCGAGAUUUUUUCUUGUAGCAAUACAAGGAAAAGUCUAGCGGCGAACGGGUGCUUAACACGUGGGCAACCUGCCGGGAAGUGGGGGAUAGCUCGCCGAAAGGCGAAUUAAUACCGCAUGUGAUCAGAGUGGACAUCCAUUCAAAAUCAAAGUCGGGGCAACCUGACGCUUCUUGUGGGGCCCGCGGCCUAUCAGCUAGUUGGUGAGGUAACGGCUCACCAAGGCGAUGACGGGUAGCUGGUCUGAGAGGACGACCAGCCACACUGGGACUGAGACACGGCCCAGACACCUACGGGUGGCAGCAGUCGAGAAUUUUUCUCAAUGGGGGAAACCCUGAAGGAGCGACGCCGCGUGGAGGAUGAAGGUCUUCGGAUUGUAAACUCCUGUCAUUGGGGAACAAGUCGCUUACGUUAACUGCGUGAGCGUUGAUAGUACCCGAAGAGGAAGAGACGGCUAACUCUGUGCCAGCAGCCGCGGUAAUACAGAGGUCUCAAGCGUUGUUCGGAUUCAUUGGGCGUAAAGGGUGCGUAGGCGGCGCGGUAAGUCGGGUGUGAAAUCUCGGAGCUUAACUCCGAAACUGCAUUCGAUACUGCCGUGCUUGAGGACUGGAGAGGAGACUGGAAUUUACGGUGUAGCGGUGAAAUGCGUAGAUAUCGUAAGGAAGACCAGUGGCGAAGGCGGGUCUCUGGACAGUUCCUGACGCUGAGGCACGAAGGCCAGGGGAGCAAACGGGAUUAGAUACCCCGGUAGUCCUGGCAGUAAACGGUGCACGUUUGGUGUGGGAGGAUUCGACCCCUUCUGC